GAAUGGGACAUUGUGCGAGGCGAGCUUCGACUGCAUUCGAUGUGAGGUUGAUAGAAAACACCUGAAACUGGCAUUGAGAGCGGCUGUGAGUAUAUGGCAGGACAGCUUCAGGCUUAUGGCCAUCUCGGACUCUCCUCAGAGAGCUGAUCUUUGGCUGAUCAACACGUGUACUCUGAAAGCUCCGACAAUGGAAACACUGAUAUGUAAAGGCAAAGCGGCCUCUAUUCCCUUGGUGGAUAGCUGGAUGCGUUCCUCAGGGUUUAAAAGAUCUCGAAGCCAUCAGCGUCAUCGGAGUGCAGCAAAUACAGCAGGGGAGACUUUGAAAGGCCACGAGGCCUGGCUGCUUCAACGGGAUGCUUUACCGUCUCUUGAUUUGCCAAAAGUUUAUAAUCUCUUUUGCUGUUGUGUUUUCAGGUUCGUAAGAACAAGUUUGUCGAGAUCAUUCCUAUCAACGUUGGCUGCUUGGGUGCUUGCACAUACUGCAAGAUGAAGCAUGCUCGCGGGCAUCUUGGCAGCUACACAGUAGAUGCACUAGUGCAAAGAUUGAAAACUGUGGUGUCUGAAGGUGUGAAGGAGAUAUGGCGACACUGGAGCUUGUUACAUGACACACCUCGCCACAUGUCCAUUAGGGUUUUCCUGUUCUGUCUGCUACUCAUGGUAUCAGAGCUGGAAUAGCACUAUGGAAGGAAAGCCAUUCAUCCGCAAGUUUGAUGGAGAAGGGUUUGAGGGAUUCAAGAUCCAUCUUGAAUCCUAUCUCUUGUUUCAUGGUUUGUUGGGGAUUGUAGAUGGGACAGAGUCAUCACCGGCUCUAGGCUUUAGCGCUGCCGAGGUGCGUGAUUGGAACCUUCGGGAUUCCAAGGCUAGAGGGAGUAUUGUGAUGUGCUUGUCCUCGAAUGUUCUCUUUGCUGCCCCAUCGAUUCCAAAGUCCACUACGGUAGAGCUUUGGAAGUGGCUGAGUGACACCUAUGGCACCAAGAGUGAAAUGGAUGUCUUCAACAUCCAUUCACAAAUGGAUUCCUUGAGGCUAGAGGAAAAUGGCAGUAUCCAGACUCACACUGCCGAACUCCAAGGCUUCUUCACACAACUUGUGGC